rnacentral:lncRNA from 1 species
UUUAAUUGCAUGUUUUUGUUUUUAGGGUAAAUUUUCAAAAAUUUACAAAAAUAUUUUUAUUUUUCUUCUUUGAUUUUCUUGUGAUUGCAUGGUGCUUGGACAAUAAUUGGGAAAUAGGCCACUAGUUAUAAAUAUUGAAUAAGUAUUUUUGGAUUGCUAAGCAUGCAAAUUUUGGUUGAUAUUAGAUUAUUCGAUAUUAUUAGAAGUAGG